rnacentral:lncRNA from 1 species
GGAAAAGGGAAAAUGACCACAUACUUUCUGAUCCAGAAUUUGAAUGCCACAGAGGAUGAGAUCAUGGGAAGACAUAAAAUAACAUUUGAUUACAAGGAAGCAGGUGCUCAGGGAAAGCAAGUCAGGAAACCUAUUGCUGUCCUGAGGUGCAGUGACAGUGGGCAACUGCUCCCCAACAGUACUGUGGCAGAUGUUUCUCAGGAAGCCACACCCACCGAGGGUACAAAAGGGCUCGGCCCCAUGGAGACAGCAGAUCAAGAACCGUCUUCAGAUGAGAUCAAGACACUUCCUUUUCCCAAUGACUCUGUGCCAUCUGCUUUCUGUGUUUUGUUGUAAUAGGGGGAAAUGACCCCCUGUUAUUCAUUUUCUCAUUUAGUUCUACGGUGGCAAAGAAGUAACUUCAUUUCUCAGCUCAAAACUUCUUAAACUGUG